rnacentral:rRNA from 1 species
GCUCCUAGUACGAGAGGACCGGAGUGGACGCAUCACUGGUGUUCGGGUUGUCAUGCCAAUGGCACUGCCCGGUAGCUAAAUGCGGAAGAGAUAAGUGCUGAAAGCAUCUAAGCACGAAACUUGCCCCGAGAUGAGUUCUCCCUGAGACUAUAAGUCUCCUGAAGGAACGUUAAAGACGAUGACGUUGAUAGGCCGGGUGUGUAAGCGCAGCGAUGCGUUGAGCUAACCGGUACUAAUGAACCGUGAGGCUUAACCUUACAACGCCGAAG